GUCGACCAAUAAUUCUGAAAUAAUAUAUGUAGCUUAAGAAUAUGGUAAAAAGUGGAGCCAGGAAAAGGAGGAGAGCGAAAAUACGAAUUCAGUAGCUUGCUUACAGUUACUGGUGCCUGCCAAAACAACUACUAGUAAAAGAUAAAGCCCAUACUCACAAGUAUAGAGACUUGAUAAUUAAACUUUGUUGAUCUAUUUGGGCAAUGUUUAUAAACUGCAUCGUAUAGAAUUGUUUGGUUAACUAA